rnacentral:rRNA from 1 species
CGUGGGUAACCUGCCCAAGAGAUCGGGAUAACACCUGGAAACAGAUGCUAAUACCGGAUAACAACAGAUGAUGCCUAUCAACUGUUUAAAAGAUGGUUCUGCUAUCACUCUUGGAUGGACCUGCGGUGCAUUAGCUAGUUGGUAGGGUAACGGCCUACCAAGGCGGUGAUGCAUAGCCGAGUUGAGAGACUGAUCGGCCACAUUGGGACUGAGACACGGCCCAAACUCCUACGGGAGGCAGCAGCA